CAGCAGCCGCGGGAAUACGUAGGGUGCGAGCGUUAAUCGGAAUUACUGGGCGUAAAGCGUGCGCAGGCGGUUUUGUAAGACAGGCGUGAAAUCCCCGGGCUCAACCUGGGAAUGGCGCUUGUGACUGCAAAGCUAGAGUAUGGCAGAGGGGGGUGGAAUUCCACGUGUAGCAGUGAAAUGCGUAGAGAUGUGGAGGAACACCGAUGGCGAAGGCAGCCCCCUGGGCCAAUACUGACGCUCAUGCACGAAAGCGUGGGGAGCAAACAGGAUUAGAUACCCGCGUAGUCCCUGUCUCUUAUAC
rnacentral:rRNA from 1 species